GCAUAGGGUUCUUACUGGUUGUG
rnacentral:siRNA from 1 species